GACGAACGCUGGCGGCGUGCCUAAUACAUGCAAGUAGAACGCUGAAGAGAGGAGCUUGCUCUUCUUGGAUGAGUUGCGAACGGGUGAGUAACGCGUAGGUAACCUGCCUGGUAGCGGGGGAUAACUAUUGGAAACGAUAGCUAAUACCGCAUAAAAUUGAUUAUUGCAUGAUAAUUAAUUGAAAGAUGCAAUUGCAUCACUACCAGAUGGACCUGCGUUGUAUUAGCUAGUUGGUGAGGUAACGGCUCACCAAGGCGACGAUACAUAGCCGACCUGAGAGGGUGAUCGGCCACACUGGGACCGAGACACGGCCCAGACUCCUACGGGAGGCAGCAGUAGGGAAUCUUCGGCAAUGGGGGGAACCCUGACCGAGCAACGCCGCGUGAGUGAAGAAGGUUUUCGGAUCGUAAAGCUCUGUUGUAAGAGAAGAACGGGUGUGAGAGUGGAAAGUUCACACUGUGACGGUAUCUUACCAGAAAGGGACGGCUAACUACGUGCCAGCAGCCGCGGUAAUACGUAGGUCCCGAGCGUUGUCCGGAUUUAUUGGGCGUAAAGCGAGCGCAGGCGGUUAGAUAAGUCUGAAGUUAAAGGCUGUGGCUUAACCAUAGUAUGCUUUGGAAACUGUUUAACUUGAGUGCAGAAGGGGAGAGUGGAAUUCCAUGUGUAGCGGUGAAAUGCGUAGAUAUAUGGAGGAACACCGGUGGCGAAAGCGUCUCUCUGGUCUGUAACUGACGCUGAGGCUCGAAAGCGUGGGGAGCAAACAGGAUUAGAUACCCUGGUAGUCCACGCCGUAAACGAUGAGUGCUAGGUGUUAGGCCCUUUCCGGGGCUUAGUGCCGCAGCUAACGCAUUAAGCACUCCGCCUGGGGAGUACGACCGCAAGGUUGAAACUCAAAGGAAUUGACGGGGGCCCGCACAAGCGGUGGAGCAUGUGGUUUAAUUCGAAGCAACGCGAAGAACCUUACCAGGUCUUGACAUCCCUCUGACCGCUCUAGAGAUAGAGUUUUCCUUCGGGACAGAGGUGACAGGUGGUGCAUGGUUGUCGUCAGCUCGUGUCGUGAGAUGUUGGGUUAAGUCCCGCAACGAGCGCAACCCCUAUUGUUAGUUGCCAUCAUUCAGUUGGGCACUCUAGCGAGACUGCCGGUAAUAAACCGGAGGAAGGUGGGGAUGACGUCAAAUCAUCAUGCCCCUUAUGACCUGGGCUACACACGUGCUACAAUGGCUGGUACAACGAGACGCAAGUCGGUGACGGCAAGCUAAUCUCUUAAAGCCAGUCUCAGUUCGGAUUGUAGGCUGCAACUCGCCUACAUGAAGUCGGAAUCGCUAGUAAUCGCGGAUCAGCACGCCGCGGUGAAUACGUUCCCGGGCCU
rnacentral:rRNA from 1 species